rnacentral:lncRNA from 15 species
GAACACCUGACGACUGGAAUGGAAAUUAAAGCAGGAAACAACUAACGUGUCUUCCACAAAGAGGAAAUGCAGUGAUAAAUAAAAGACAGGCAUCAGUUUUUUUUUCUUAAAAGCAAGCAGCUGUGGAGGAGGA